rnacentral:rRNA from 1 species
AGAGUUUGAUUCUGGCUCAGGACGAACGCUGGCGGCGUGCUUCAUACAUGCAAGUCGAACGAGAAUCUGGAGCUUGCUUCAGAGGAAAGUGGCGGACGGGUGAGUAAUAUGUAGAGAAUCUGCCCUUGAGCGGGGGACAACAGAGGGAAACUUCUGCUAAUACCCCAUAUGAGCUUAGUUGAAAUACUAAUCUUGAAAACUCCGGUGCUCAAGGAUGAGUCUGCAUCUGAUUAGCUUGUUGGCGGUGUAAUGGACCACCAAGGCGACGAUCAGUAGCUGGUUUGAGAGGAUGAUCAGCCACAAUGGGACUGAGACACGGCCCAUACUCCUACGGGAGGCAGCAGUAGGGAAUUUUGCGCAAUGGGCGAAAAAGCCUGACGCAGCAACGCCGCGUGAACGAUUAAGCCCUUCGGGGUGUAAAGUUCUGUCAGUAGGGACGAAUUUUGACGGUACCUACAGAGGAAGCACCGGCUAACUCCGUGCCAGCCGCGGC